rnacentral:rRNA from 1 species
GAGGAAUAUUGGACAAUGGGCGAAAGCCUGAUCCAGCAAUACCGCGUGAGUGAAGAAGGCCCUAGGGUUGUAAAGCUCUUUCAGCAGGGAAAAUGAUGAUGGUACCUGCAAAAGAAGUUCCGGCUAACUCCGUGCCAGCAGCCGCGGUAAUACGGAGGGAACUAGCGUUGUUCGGAUUUACUGGGCGUAAAGAGCGCGUAGGCGGUUUAUUAAGUUAGAAGUGAAAGCCUGGGGCUUAACUCCAGAAUUGCUUCUAAAACUGAUAAGCUAGAGUGUGGGAGAGGAUAGCGGAAUUCCUAGUGUAGAAGUGAAAUUCUUAGAGAUUAGGAGGAACACCGGUGGCGAAAGCGGCUAUCUGGAACACAACUGACGCUGAGGCGCGAAAGCGUGGGGAGCAAAC